rnacentral:rRNA from 1 species
CCUACGGGAGGCAGCAGUGAGGAAUAUUGGUCAAUGGACGAGAGUCUGAACCAGCCAAGUAGCGUGAAGGAUGACUGCCCUAUGGGUUGUAAACUUCUUUUAUAUGGGAAUAAAACAGGGUAUGCAUACCCUCUUGUAUGUACCAUAUGAAUAAGGAUCGGCUAACUCCGUGCCAGCAGCCGCGGUAAUGCGGAGGAUCCGAGCGUUAUCCGGAUUUAUUGGGUUGAAGGGGAGCGUAGGUGGAUUGUUAAGUCAGUUGUGAAAGUUUGCGGCUCAACCGUAAAAUUGCAGUUGAAACUGGCAGUCUGGAGUACAGUAGAGGUGGGCGGAAUGCGUGGUGUAGCGGUGAAAUGCUUAGAUAUCACGAAGAACUCCGAUUGCGAAGGCAGCUCACUGGACUGCAACUGACACUGAUGCUCGAAAGUGUGGGUAUCAAACAGGAUUAGAUACCCCAGUAGUC